rnacentral:lncRNA from 1 species
GACAGGGGAGGUCAGUGUAAUUUUCAAAGUACAGGGGAGGUUCUGUCUUAUACUAAACCUCAGGGGAGGUCAGUGAUAUUUACCCAUAUUAUUAACCCUAUUAAUGGAGAGAAAAGAAAAAGUUAAAAAAUUGGGUGAGCUGAGAAAGAAAGUGGUCUGCAUUUAGAAACUCCUUCCAACUUUCACCCUUCUCGGUCUUCUCCGAAUGACCCACGCAAACCCUAAACAUAGAGGCCGCUCUCUCUCUCUUCUCUCUUCCACACACUUCUCCUAAGAAGUGAGAGAUUUUCAAGGGCUACGAAUCCAACACUACGGUGAGUGCGUAACUUAAUCGAUCUUUUCAUGUUUCAUGUGUGUUAGUACUCAUUUUAAGACGUUCCGAGCUUCACUGUUUAUGAGUUGUUGGUUAUGGAAGCAUUUGGUUGUUCGCAUAAACUAGGUUCGAUUUAGGGUUUCUGUGAGUACUGAACAAACAACACAAUCGGGGUUUAGUGAAAUCUCCUCAGUUUUUCAUAAUUUCUUAAAGCCUUUUUUCACUGUUUUUUGUAUUUUCUUUUGCUCAAACUGUAAUCUCUAAAUUUUGUUAAGGCUUCAUUUGGUUGGAUGUGGUUUUCAAUCAAGGGAUUUGCGAUUAUUAUUCAAUGAGAAAAAACUUAAAUUUAGAUUCCUAAUUUGUAUGUGAAUUUCAACGAUUUGAAAUAACUAGUCACUAAGAGUGGUAUGAAAUCCUUUAUCUAAGAAUUGUAGCUAUACAAGAAUACAUUUCUUCUACUUCUAAUCCCCUUUAAACCCUAGUUUCACAAGUCACCCGCAACUAACAUUUUAUGAGAGAUGCUUAGCAUGUUUUUUAACUGACGAGCUGAGAAAAUAUUUUGUUGCGAAUGAACUUUUUGACGAAAUGUCCAUAUGUAAAAUCAUAAUUAUUGUUCUGAGUCUUUCCCAAUAAAAGAGAAUCUUUUGUUAUAAUAGAAGGAGAUUAUUCAAGAAUUGAAGUUGAUUUUCUUUAUAAAAAGAAGAUAUCAAUGAACUUAUAGGAAACGGUUUCACAGGAUUGUUGAAAUUAAACACUGAAUUGCUUGAAAUGAAAUCCACAUAUAAGCAAAUGAAGCCUCAAGAUAUCCCCUGUUCUUCUUAAAUACCCGAAGCUCUGGAAAUAUGAUUUUCCUCACGAUUCUAACAUUUGGAAUGAGUUGGAAUAGGAAUGUGAUUCCUAGGUAUCAUUCUCAAUACUCACUCCCUCGUGGGAAUUUUGCAUUUCUGGUGGUGGAAUGUGAACUGUCCAAGAGUAAAAACAAGGUUCUAAAAAUCGCUAGACGGUAAUCGGGCGGCCGGGGGAGCCUAGCGCCUAGGCGGCUAGGCGGCCGCCUAGGCGAUUUUUUAUUAUUAUUAUUUAUUUAUUUAUUUAAAUCAUUAAUAUUUACUAAAAAUAAUAAUAAAUGACCAAAUAUCAAAUUCUAACCAAAAAAUGAUAUCAAAAUAGUAAAGUUCAAAUGUUUAAUGUUAAAUAAUACAAAGAGGAAGAUAGAAAUGGCAAUUUAGGUCUCUAAAAUAUAUAGAAAUUAGAAACUAGGUCUCUAAAAAGCGCUAGGCGUUAAGCGGGAGGAGGGCCCAGCGCCUAGGCGGGGCCUAGGCAGCCUAGGCGGAGGAUUUUUAGAACAGAGGUAAAAAAAAGUAAAUGGGCCCAGAAUGUUUAAAAUAUGAGUAAUGUUAGGAAGCAUGAACACCUUUAAAAAUCUGGACUAUUGGUGUCCGACACCUUCCAGACACCGACACGUUCGGACACAUUCCAGACACAUGAAAAUAUGUGUCCAAUAUAUAUUUUUUGUUCAGACACAUUGGGGACACGCGAGGUACACGCGCAGGGGUAAUAAUGUAAUUUUUAAAAUAUCAAACUAGGUCAAGUGAAAAAACAAUAAAAUAUUGGGUUAAUAGUGUAAUUUAUGCUUAAAAUCAAACUUAUUAGGGUGUGAUUUUACAAAAUAAUGUUGGCUACGAAUCGCUAAAAUAUAUAUAUUAUUCAACGUAUCUCUGACUUGUCCGUGUCCUAUUUUUUUGAAAAAUUAUGUAUCUACGUGUUCGUGUCCCGUAUUCAGAUCCAUGCUUCUUAGAAAUAAUGAUAUACAAAUAGAAAAUUCAUACUAAAUUCUUACACGGAUGAUGUGAUUGAAUGUGGACCUUUUAACGAAAUUCCCAUUGCGACAACAUGCUUGUUGAUCUUUUUGCAUAACUAUACUGUCAGAAUAUAACUUCCUUAAAAUAUAGAGAUUUCCCUAUCUAUACCAACACUUGUGAAAAGGAUUAAGACAGGAAUUUUAUUAUGUUUAUGGGACGGAUUCCUGGUAAUCACAUUUCCAAAACGUUUCUUCCACCAUACAUGGCAUGAAUUGCAAUUGACACAUGUGAGUAUCUUCUUAUUUUUUUGUGCUUUUUACGGAUUCCAGUCCAGGUGGUGGAUUUGAAGCUGUAACGGCUCAAGAAAUAGGUUAUUCUUAGGUGAAGGUGGAGUUACUGUUCUAAAAUCUGUAAAUGAGCUUUAUCAAAAGAGUGAGGCAUCACUUACCCUAUGGGUUAUGCAGAAAACCCAUUCUUUCUCCAUGGUUGCACUCAACUGUGUUAACUUAAAUGUUGGAAUUCAGCACUUUACUCAACCUGCAAGGAACGAGGACGAAGAGGACGAAGAAGUUGAGAUAGACCAAAGAAGGCUUCCAGCGGACUAUGAUCCUGCAACUUUUGAUCCUACACAGCACCGAAGCCCUCCAACAGGGCGGGUCUUUCGGCUUGUUGAUGAGA